rnacentral:rRNA from 1 species
UUGGAGGGCAAGUCUGGUGCCAGCAGCCGCGGUAAUUCCAGCUCCAAUAGCGUAUAUUAAAGUUGUUGCAGUUAAAAAGCUCGUAGUUGAAUUUCGGGAUCAGAGUGUCGGUCGUGCCUCGGUACGCACUGGUAUUAUUGGUUCCUACCUUCUGAAGAACCGCGAUGUCAUUAAUUUGGUGUCGUGGGGAAUCAGGACUGUUACUUUGAAAAAAUUAGAGUGUUUAAAGCAGGCUUACGCUUGAAUACAUUAGCAUGGAAUAAUGAAAUAGGACGUUUGAUUCUAUUUUGUUGGUUUCUAGGAUUGACGUAAUGAUUAAUAGGGAUAGUUGGGGGCAUUAGUAUUCAAUUGUCGGAGGUGAGAUUCUUGGAUUUAUUGAAGACUAACUACUGCGAAAGCAUUUGCCAAGGAUGUUUUCAUUAAUCAAGAACGAAAGUUAGGGGACCGAAGACGAUCAGAUACCGUCGUAGUCUUAACCAUAAACUAUGCCGACUAGGGAUCGGAUGAUGUUAAUUUUUUAAUGACUCAUUCGGCGCCUUACGGGAAACCAAAGUGUUUGGGUUC